rnacentral:rRNA from 1 species
CAGUGGGGAAUAGUUGCACGAAUGGCGCAAGCCUGAUGCAGCCAUGCCGCGUGUAUGAGAAGGACUCGGGUUGUAAGUACUUUCAGCAGUGAGGAAGUGGGUAUGUUAAUAGCAUACUCAUUUGACGUUAGCUGCAGAAGAAGCACCGGCUAACUCCGUGCCAGCAGCCGCGGUAAUACGGAGGGUGCGAGCGUUAAUCGGAAUUACUGGGCGUAAAGCGCAUGCAGGUGGUUGUUAAGUCAGAUGUGAAAGCCCGGGGCUCAACCUCGGAAUUGCAUUUGAAACUGGCAAACUAGAGUACUGUAGAGGGGGUAGAAUUUCAGGUGUAGCGGUGAAAUGCGUAGAGAUCUGAAGGAAUACCGGUGGCGAAGGCGGCCCCCUGGACAGAUACUGACACUCAGAUGCGAAAGCGUGGGGAGCAAACAGGAUUAGAUACCCUGGUAG